rnacentral:rRNA from 1 species
CCAUGAAUAAGUCCCGGCUAACUACGUGCCAGCAGCCGCGGUAAAACGUAGGGGACAAGCGUUAUCCGGAUUUACUGGGCGUAAAGAGCGUUGAGGCGGUUCCGUAAGUUGGGCGUGAAAGCCCCGGGCUUAACCCGGGGAGGUCGUUCAAUACUGCGGGGCUUGAGGGCAGCAGAGGGAGGUGGAACUCCCGGUGUAGCGGUGAAAUGCGUAGAUAUCGGGAGGAACACCAGUGGCGAAGGCGGCCUCCUGGGCUGCUCCUGACGCUGAAGGCGAAAGCUAGGGUAGCGAACGGGAUUAGAAACCCCGGUAGUCCUAGCUGUAAACGAUGGAUGCUGGGUGUGGGGGGUGUAGAUUCCCUCCGUGCCGAAGCUAACGCGUUAAGCAUCCCGCCUGGGGACUACGGCCGCAAGGCUAAAACUCAAACGAAUUGACGGGGACCCGCACAAGCAGCGGAGCGUGUGGUUUAAUUCGAUGCUACACGAGGAACCUUACCUGGGCUUGACAUAUAAGUGGUAGCGAAGCGAAAGCGGAGCGACCCUUCGGGGAGCUUAUACAGGUGCUGCAUGGCUGUCGUCAGCUCGUGCUGUGAGGUGUCGGGUUAAGUCCCGUAACGAGCGCAACCCUUGCCCUUAGUUAUACGUGUCUAAGGGGACUGCCCGGGACAACUGGGAGGAAGGUGGGGAUGACGUCAAGUCAGCAUGGCCUUUAUGUCCAGGGCUACACACACGCUACAAUGGCCGGUACAAUGGGUUGCCAAGCCGUGAGGCGGAGCCAAUCCCCCAAAGCCGGUCUCAGUUCGAAUUGUGGGCUGCAACUCGCCCACAUGAAGCUGGAGUUGC